ensembl:lncRNA
AUGCCGGGGUCGCGGUUCCGGUGGUUCCUCCCCAAAAUCCACCCAAAAUCCACCCAAAAUCCACCCAAAUCACCCAAAUCACCCAAAAUCACCCAAAAUCACCCAAAAUUCACCCAAAAUCACCCAAAAUCCACCAAAAUCACCCAAAAUCCACCCGAAAUUCCCGGAAUUCCCGGCGCUCACCGAUGCCGGGGUCGCGGUUCCGGUGAUUCCUCCCCAAAAAUCCCUCAAGAACCUCCCAAAAUCACCCAAAAUCACCCAAAAUCACCCAAAAUCACCCAAAAUUUCCCAAAAUCCCCCAAAUUCCACCCGGAAUUCCCGGAAUUCCCGGCGCUCACCGAUGCCGGGGUCGCGGUUCCGGUAAUUCUCGCCGAAGGACACGAGGCCGAUGGCCAAAGUCUGGAGGAACGGCCGGAGGGACGGAACGAACUGAGGAGAAACGGGGACAGAGGGGUCACCGGUGGUCACCUGUGGUCAGUGGUGGUCACUUGUGGUCACUUGUGGUCAUCAGGGGUCAGUGGUGGUCACUUGUGGUCACUUGUGGUCAUCAGGGGUCAUUGGUGGUCAGUGGUGGUCACUGGUGGUCACCUGUGGUCAUCAGGGGUCACUGGUGGUCACUUGUGGUCACUGGUGGUCACUUGUGGUCAGUGGUGGACAGUGGUGGUCAGCAGGGGUCCGUGGUGGUCAUCAGGGGUCAUUGGUGGUCAAUGGUGGUCAGUGGUGGUCACUUGUGGUCAUCAGGGGUCAUUGGUGGUCAAUGGUGGUCACUUGUGGUCAUCAGGGGUCAUUGGUGGUCACUGGUGGUCACUGGUGGGGUCACUGGUGGUCACUUGUGGUCAUCAGGGGUCAGUGGUGGUCAGUGGUGGUCACUUGUGGUCAUCAGGGGUCAGUGGUGGUCACUUGUGGUCAUCAGGGGUCAGUGGUGGUCAGUGGUGGUCAUCAGGGGUCAGUGGUGGUCAACCCAACACCAACCCAACGGUGAACACCAACCCAAUGGUCAAGCCAAGACCGAUGGUCAAGCCAAGACCCACCCAGUGGUCAACACCAGUCCAAUGACCAAGACCAAUCAAUGGCCAAGACCAAUCAAUGGCCAAGACCAAUCAAUGGUCAACACCAACCCAAUGGUGAAGACCAAUCAAUGGUCAACACCAACCCAAUGGUCAAGCCAAGACUGAUGGUCAACACCAACCCAAUGGUCAAGCCAAGACCAACCCAGUCGUCAACACCAGUCCAAUGGCCAAGACCAAUCAAUGACCAAGACCAACCCAGUGGUCAAGACCAACCCAAUGGUCAACACCAACCCAAUGGUCAAUCCAAGACUGAUGGUCAACACCAACCCAAUGGUCAACACCAAUCAAUGGUCAACACCAACCCAAUGGUGAAGACCAAUCAAUGGUCAACACCAACCCAAUGGUCAAGCCAAGACUGAUGGUCAACACCAACCCAAUGGUCAAGCCAAGACCAACCCAGUCGUCAACACCAGUCCAAUGGCCAAGACCAAUCAAUGACCAAGACCAACCCAGUGGUCAAGACCAACCCAAUGGUCAACACCAACCCAAUGGUCAAUCCAAGACUGAUGGUCAACACCAACCCAAUGGUCAACACCAACCUAACGGUGAAGACCAAUCAAUGGUCAAACCAAGGCCAAUGGUCAAUCCAAGACUGAUGGUCAACACCAACCCAAUGGUCAACACCAGCCCAAUGGCCAAGACCAAUCAAUGACCAAGACCAACCCAGUGGUCAAGACCAACCCAAUGGUCAACACCAACCCAAUGGUCAAGCCAAGACUGAUGGUCAACACCAACCCAAUGGUCAAGCCAAGACUGAUGGUCAACACCAACCCAAUGGUGAAGACCAAUCAAUGGUCAACACCAACCCAAUGGUCAAGCCAAGACUGAUGGUCAACACCAACCCAAUGGUGAAGACCAAUCAAUGGUCAACACCAACCCAAUGGUCAACACCAACCCAAUGGUGAAGACCAAUCAAUGGCCAAGCCAAGACCAACCCAGUGGUCAACACCAGUCCAAUGACCAAGACCAAUCAAUGGCCAAGACCA